rnacentral:rRNA from 1 species
CCCUUAGACGUUCUGGGCCGCACGCGCGCUACACUGACCAGUGCAACAAGCAUCCGUCCUUGGCCGACAGGCCCGGGCAAUCUUUGAACGCUGGUCGUGAUGGGGAUAGACUUUUGCAAUUUUUGGUCUUCAACGAGGAAUUCCUAGUAAACGCAAGUCAUCAACUUGCAUUGAUUACGUCCCUGCCCUUUUUACACACCGCCCGUCGCACCUACCGAUUGAAUGGUCCGGUGAAGCCUCCGGAUUGGCGCGCACCUCGGUGCCGCCGAGAAGUUGGCUAAACCUUACCAUUUAGAGGAAGGUGAAGUCGUAACA